ensembl:lncRNA
CCUUGGGCUUCUCCGUUGUAAUUGGAUCGAUGUUCUUACUGUGUCCUUUCCAGGGUCACACAGGAGCCACUCACAACACCACGGCUUUCUCCUCUAUUCCUCCUCUUCUAUCGUUCUCAAUCAAUGACUGACCUAUUCUUUCCUUCUCUCAUUCUCCUGGCCUUUUCUUCCCUUAUUCAGUCUUCUUCUGAGACGUGGCUGAAGGAAGGGUGACAUCUGUCGUGUUCUCUUACUCUCCCUCUUUCUGUCCCUUUUUUCUGUCCUUUUGAAAGAGGUUGUCCUCCCACACUGUCAUCAGAGAGAGAGACGUAUCACCCCUACAGUCCCCUCACAGUCAUCAGAGAGAGAGAGAGAACGUAUCAACCCCAUACAGCACCCAUCACCUGUCAUCAGAGAGAUGUUCAACCCCUACAGGAGCCACACUUUCAUCAGAGAGUGUAUCCAAACCCCUACAGGAGCCACCCUGUCAUCCGAGAGAUGUAUCCACCCCUACAGCACCCACACUGUCAUCAGAGAGAGAGACGUAUUCAACCCCUACAGACCCACACUGUCAUCGAGAGAUGUAUAUCAACCCCUACAGGCGCCACACUGUCAUCAGGAGAGAUGUAUCAAACCCCUACAGGAGCACACUGCCAUCAGAGAGAGAGACGUAUCAACCACCUACAGCACCCACACUGUCAUCAGAGAGAUGUAUCAACCCCUACAGGAGCCACACUGUCAUCGAGAGAUGUCAUAACCCCUACAGCCCCACAGUCAUCAGGAGAGAGAGUAUCAACCCUAAGACCCACCUGUCAUCAGAGAGAGAGAGUAUCAACCCAUUACAGCACCCACAAUGUCAUCAGAGAGAGAUGUAUCAACCCCUACAGGACCCACACUGUCAUCAGAGAGAGAGAUGUAUCAACCCCUACAGGACCCACACUGUCAUCCGAGAGAGAGAGUUAUCAACCCCUACAGGACCCACACUGUCAUCAGAGAGGAUGUAUCCACCCCUACAGCACCCACACUGUCAUCGAGAGAUGUAUCACCCCUACAGCACCCACACUGUCAUCAGAGAGAGAGAAUACAUGAGAGAAAGAGAGAGAUGUAAUGAGAGAAAGAGAGAGAUGUAAUGAGAGGGAGAGAGAGAGGGAGAGAGAGGGAGAGAGAGAGAGAGAGCGAGAGAGAGAAAGAGAGAGAUAUGUAAUGAGAGAGAGAGACAGAGAGAGAGAUGGCGAGAGAUGGCGAGAGAGAGAGAGAGAGAUGGAGAGAGAGAUGGCGAGAGAGAGAGAGACGGCAAGAGAGAGGGAGUCGAAGAGAGUGAGGCAGAGAGAGCGAGAGAGAAUAAAUUAAUGAGAGAAAAAUAUAGAGAGAAUGAAUGAGAAAGAAACAGAGAAAGAGAGAGACCAUCCCACAUAAUGUGGAGGUGAAAGGGAGUAGAAAUAACAGACGAACCAAGGCUCCGCCGGGCCCCUCYAUACUACUAUCCUGCCAUCAGACAACAGCACCACUAUGGAGCUAGGCAAGACCCUAAYGAGACAAACUCCGUCAAGUCAGCACAGUUAUCACCGGGGUCUUCAACGUUUCCAAAACUCUGUCUUGGGGCCUCCCAUGGGUGCACGUUUUAGUUUUUKCCCUAGCACUACACAGCUGACUCAAAUAAUCAACGCUUGAUGAUGAGUUGGUUCAUUGAUUCAGCUGUGUAGCACUGAGGCAAAAACCAAAGCCUGCACCGGGGUGGGGCCCCUGGACCGGGUUUGGGAAACCCUGUUGUACACACAUUCACAGACAAGACGGCAUCUGACUGACAUACAUUGUAUAGAAGGACAUCGCAUGGAGAUUGGCAAAGCUAGUGAAAAUCUAACGUCAUCAGAUUGGGUUUUGGGGGGAUUCAGGUAGUCUAGACUUUGAUUAGGUGUCUUAAGCCUUUUGGUUUACAGUCCAACGAGUCCAUAAAAUGACCUUGUAUUGUUUUAUGUUUGGUCAAAAUAUAUUGAUAUAUUGAAGUCUCUGAAAGGACAUGUCAAGGUCCCUUAUAAUGCCUCGCAGGGGUGAACUGGUCAUUAAAAAGCUGGGCUAACAGUGUUCAAUAUAUAAGCUGACAACGCUACUUUACUGUAUUGGUACAUAAACGCUUUCCACCACAUCAGAAAGGUGUGCAAAGGGUGUUCAUCAUACACUAUAUUCCUGUUAAUAUGUCAAAACACCAGUCAUAUGUCAGUGGUGUUGGAGGAYACUGGUGGACAUUUGGUGAGGGAUUUAUUGACCUAAAAUGCAUUCAGAAAGUAUUCAGACCCCUUGACUUUUUCCACAUUUUAUUACGUUACAGCCUUAUUCUAAAAUGGAUUAUAUGACUUGUUUCCCUCAUCAAUCUACACACAAUACCCCAUAAUGACAUCACAAUACCCCAUAAUGACAUCACAAUACCCCAUAAUGCACAAACGGUAGACAACCUGGUUGCCAAAGACACCAUAGCGU